AACAGUUUCACCACUUAUUGCAGUACAAAAGAUGUCUCUUGUUGGAUCAGGAGGGCUGUAGAAAUCUCAGAGGAAUGACGGAAGCUGGAUUGUCAGAGGAACAGCAUUAGGCAGACUGUUUUCUUUCAUUUGGGGAGGACAACAUGUGAACACAACAUAGAGACAAGAGUCAGGACACUGACCUGAAGUAGCUGCUAAUUUGCAGCUGUGAAGUCACAUCCAUUCCAUGGAGACGCAAAGUCUACAGAUACCCCAACAAUGGCAUCCCCUGGACAUGUGAACAGCUCCUUCCUAUCUCAUCAAGAUGGAGGAUGGAUCAUUCAGGAGUUAAUGGCUGGAAUAUUAAAUAUUAAUCACCUUGGCUAUGAAACAAUGGCUAAAGGGAACCUAUGUGAGACAACACAACUGACAUGGAGAAAAAUCAUGUGAUACAACCUUUGGCCUGGAUGCUAGAAUUGGGAUCUAAGCAGAGAACACACAGGCUGCCACAGGGAGCAGGUGUUGUCAUGUCAUUAAAAUGGUAUAAUCCUUGGGCUUAUUUAUUGUACAAGGCGCAAGACACCAAUCACUCAUAAGGGAUAGGGUAAACACCUUGUGGGUUCAUUUAAGAUUAAGUUUAUG